rnacentral:rRNA from 1 species
GACGUAGGGCGCAAGCGUUGUCCGGAUUUAUUGGGCGUAAAGAGCUCGUAGGCGGCUUGUCGCGUCGACUGUGAAAACCUGCGGCUCAACCGUAUGGUCUGCAGUCGAUACGGGCAGGCUAGAGUUCGGUAGGGGAGACUGGAAUUCCUGGUGUAGCGGUGGAAUGCGCAGAUAUCAGGAGGAACACCGAUGGCGAAGGCAGAUCUCUGGGCCGUAACUGACGCUGAGACACGAAAGCGUGGGUAGCAAACAGG